GAUGAACGCUGGCGGCGUGCUUAACACAUGCAAGUCGAACGAAGCACUUUAUUUGAUUUCCUUCGGGACUGAUUAUUUUGUGACUGAGUGCCGGACGGGUGAGUAACGCGUGGGUAACCUGCCUUGUACAGGGGGAUAACAGUCGGAAACGGCUGCUAAUACCGCAUAAGCGUACGGCAUCGCAUGAUGCAGUGUGAAAAACUCCGGUGGUAUAAGAUGGACCCGCGUUGGAUUAGCUAGUUGGUGAGGUAACGGCCCACCAAGGCGACGAUCCAUAGCCGAGCAGAGAGGGGGACCGGGCACAUUGGGAAUUAGACACAGCCCAAACUCCUACAGGAGGCAGCAGUGGGGAAUAUUGGAAAAUGGGCGGAAGCCUGAUGCAGCGAGGCCGCGUGAGCGAAGAAGUAUUUCGGUAUGUAAAGCUCUAUCAGCAGGGAAGAUAAUGACGGUACCUGACUAAGAAGCACCGGCUAAAUACGUG
rnacentral:rRNA from 1 species